GGGUUGUGAGGUUAAGCGACUAAGCGUACACGGUGGAUGCCCUGGCAGUCAGAGGCGAUGAAGGACGUGCUAAUCUGCGAUAAGCGCCGGUAAGGUGAUAUGAACCGUUAUAACCGGCGAUUUCCGAAUGGGGAAACCCAGUGUGACUCGUCACACUAUCAUUAACUGAAUCCAUAGGUUAAUGAGGCGAACCGGGGGAACUGAAACAUCUAAGUACCCCGAGGAAAAGAAAUCAACCGAGAUUCCCCCAGUAGCGGCGAGCGAACGGGGAGGAGCCCAGAGCCUGAAUCAGCAUGUGUGUUAGUGGAAGCGUCUGGAAAGGCGCGCGAUACAGGGUGACAGCCCCGUACACAAAAGCGCAUAUGCUGUGAGCUCGAUGAGUAGGGCGGGACACGUGGUAUCCUGUCUGAAUAUGGGGGGACCAUCCUCCAAGGCUAAAUACUCCUGACUGACCGAUAGUGAACCAGUACCGUGAGGGAAAGGCGAAAAGAACCCCGGCGAGGGGAGUGAAAAAGAACCUGAAACCGUGUACGUACAAGCAGUGGGAGCCCCACCACUAAGCCAGUGGUGAACUCCACAUACGCAUCCUUUGCUGAGGAUACGGUUAACGGAGCGAAAGCGACGUUCAACCGCAAAAGAAGCAGAGGGGGCUUAGUGGUGGGGUGACUGCGUACCUUUUGUAUAAUGGGUCAGCGACUUAUAUUCUGUAGCAAGGUUAACCG
rnacentral:rRNA from 2 species